rnacentral:lncRNA from 10 species
GAGUAUAUUAACUUCCAGUUUCUACUUAACUUGAGUUUUGCUCAGGGAGUUAUAGCUGAACUUAUAAGUACAGGUUCUUUUACUAUGAAACAGUUAUUUUCAAGAUUAAAAAAUUUAGGGGGACUGUUUGGAGGAUUGAAGGUGUAAAACUUGGUUGGUAAAUUAAAAUAAAUAAGUAAAUAAAGGUUUCCUUAAUCACCUUGGAGAAAAAGAAGGGUUCUUGCUGACAAUUGUAUCAUGGUACUACAUUGCUAUGUAAUUUAUUUUGUACAUAUAAUUGACUUUUACUUUGGAAGCAAGAAAGCCACAUGGAAAUGUUAAAAAGAAGCCAAGUGAGAGAUCAGCUGAGAGAAAUUAAAUCCAUCAAUAUGCAAAUAUAAUAAAGGGAAGGGAAACUGGCAUUUAUUGAGGGGUAUAUGCAAAUGUAGUAAGUUGCCAGAAGGGAAGUUCUUUGCAUUCUGCAGUGACUUGGGGGAAUUUUGAAGAAUUGGCAGAGCUUUAACUGGCUAUGAAAAGUAGUUGGAAUGAAGGCAAAAAGUGGGGAGGGAUUUUAGAUGGAGAAGAGGUACAAAGUUGUAGAGAUGGAAAUGCACCUAUCCUCUUUAAUGGGAAGUGAAUAGGCCAUUGAACACAAACUGCAGUAUGUGGAUGAGAAAUAAUUGGAAAGUAAGUUUAGAUGCUCAGCCUAGACUAGGUAAGAAGGGGCAGACCUUGAAUAAUACAGUAAUCAUUAAACAUAAAUUUGUUUAUUGCAUACUUUGGGUCAGGCAAUGAGCUAAAACAUUUUUUGACAUACAUUAUUGAAUUUAAUCUUGACAACAAUCCAGUGAAGUACGUAUUAUCAAUCACAUUUUACAGAUGAGGCAACUUAAAUUUAGAGAGGUUAAAUAGUCUUCCCAAGGCUAAAGUUUUGGGAGACAAUUCUUCCUGGGUUUCUUGCAUUUCUGUACAUCUUGACAGCAGGGCCACUGACUGCAUUUGUUCUGGACCACAUUUUUCAUGGAUAUUUGCAUAGAAAAUAGCUUUGAAAGAUAGAGAUCAUGUCUCCUUCUGAAGCAAAAGGCAGGUUUAUUUAUAGUUUGGCAUCAUGAGAUAAUGUGUCCAUCUAGAGCCAAGUAUGAGCAGGCUUACUGUCCAUUAUAAAAGAUUCAGUUUGCCUGAAUACAGGGUUCCUCUCCUAUAGUGUUACCUACUGUAUGUGUGUAUAGGAGUCACCUGACCCUUUUACAUUGCCCUGUGGAAACUGAGGCUUGGGGAAGUGGUGUGAGUGGUCACACUUCAGGUACUUACUGCUAUUGCUAUAAGUAACAAAAUACUUUGUCUCUGACCUAGGAGUUUUGUAUCUUCUAGUAUUUAUGAAACUGUGGCAAACCAACUUGUUAACUUGCAAAUAGGCUAAUUUCUCAGACCAUUCAUAGUUCUUAACUUAAAUGGUGAAACAACCUUAAAACGCUUCAGAAAUCAACUAUUAGGUGACAAGGGCCUGUACUAGAAUGGUUUGAAAGGAACAAAAUUGAUGCUAGAAGUACAAAGGAAGAAAUAGAAAGGACAAAACAAGGUUUGGACAGAAUAUUUUGGGAUGGAGUGUUGGGUAAGAAGUGGUCAGAAAUUAUAAGGUUAAAGGAGAUAUGAAAAUUCUGAGCUUGAGAGAUGAAUACGGAAAUUAAUAAACUGGUUCUUGGAAGAAUGGGUGGCAGCUUGUUUUGUGCUUUUAGAAUUUUACUUCUCUGAAGUUAAAAACUGGAUAUUUAAAAAUUCUCUGCAUAGGAUUUUAACAGAGAAAACAUGCAUAAAAUAUAUCAACUAGAUCUCCCCUUUCCUCACUUAUUCUCAAAUCUGUGAGUUAGAGCUGUUGAGAGGACCUGGAAAGUAGCUGCUUAUGGUUGGCAUCUGUGUGUGUGUGAGGUUGCAGAGGGGAAGAGAAGAGAGUGGUUGGGGCAAUGGCCCAGGUGCUUUUGAGGCCAUGUCAAGACAUUCUCAGGCUGGCUGUAGGCUGUGUCUCACUCCUAAGGAGAGCGCUUGGCUCCUAAGCACUGUUUUUUUUGUGUGUUUUUUUUUUUUUUU